AUUGAACGCUGGCGGCAGGCCUAACACAUGCAAGUCGAACGAGUGGCGGACGGGCGAGUAAUGUCUGAGAAACUGCCUGAUGGAGCGGGAUAACUACUGGAAACCGUCGCUAAUACCGCAUACAAUGAGAUGGGCCCAGGUGGGAUUAGGUUGUUGGUGAGGUAACGGUUAACUAAGGCGAAGAGCCCUAGCUGGUCUGAGAGGAUAACCGGCCAAACUGGAACUGAGACACGGUCCAGACUCCUACGGUAGGCGGCAGUGGGGAAUAUUUGACAAUGGGCGCAAGCCUGAUGCAGCCAUGCCGCGUGUAUGAAGAAGGCUUUCGGGUUGUAAAGUACUUUAAGCGGGGAGGCGUUACCCGCAGAAGAAGCAACGGCUAACUCCGUGCCAGCAGCCGCGGUAAUUC
rnacentral:rRNA from 1 species